rnacentral:lncRNA from 1 species
UUGUUGUUCUUGACUAGCGGGGCUAGUCGGUUUUUCUUAAUUAUUGCAUGCAUCGGGAGUUUUAUGGAAAUAAAUGUGGAAAAGUAUAAAACCCUUUUUCUUUCAAUUAUUUAUUUUUGUCCACUCACGCUAACGUUUUUAUAUACUUUUCCCUGGGCCCUUCGGUUUUAAAUGCCCAGAUUGCAGUACUGUUGCUCGGGGUACGAGAGUGAGCCAUAGUUACCGCACCUGCUUCCGCCAUCACAUUCUGUAGGUUACCUGGUUAACCUACUGUAUUCCUUGUCUUUUUAUAUUCCUAGAAUGCUCUGAUUACUAAGGGAUAUGUGACCCAACUUAUAUGUAUUAUAUUUGAGGUCUAUGACCUAAAUUUGGUGAUUGUAGUAAACUGUAUCUUUCGGAGUUUAUGUUUGAUGUGGAUAGAUUUGAGUUGGGUUGUUUGAAUUUGGGAGCAGGGUGGCUCCAGGAGUUAUGGUUGGGGAGGUUAUGCCGAAAUUUUUGGUAA